UACGUAGGGAGCAAGCGUUGUCCGGAAUUACUGGGCGUAAAGGGUGCGUAGGCGGUUGAUUAAGUCAGAUGUGAAAUACCCGGGCUUAACCUGGGGGGUGCAUCUGAAACUGGUCGACUUGAGUGCAGGAGAGGAAAGCGGAAUUCCUAGUGUAGCGGUGAAAUGCGUAGAUAUUAGGAGGAACACCAGUGGCGAAGGCGGCUUUCUGGACUGUAACUGACGCUGAGGCACGAAAGCGUGGGGAGCAA
rnacentral:rRNA from 1 species